rnacentral:tRNA from 1 species
UGUAGCUCAGUGGUAGAGCCCUUGCCUAUCAUGCACAAGGCCUUGGGUUCAAUUCCCAGCA